rnacentral:sRNA from 1 species
GCGGAGGCGGCGGCGGAGCCUCCUCCUGCUGCCGCUGCGCCCCAUCCCCCCGCGGCCGGCCAGUUCCAGCCCGCACCCCGCGUCGGUGCCCGCGCCCCUCCCCGGGCCCCGCCAUGGGCCUCACCGUGUCCGCGCUCUUUUCGCGGAUCUUCGGGAAGAAGCAGAUGCGGAUUCUCAUGGUUGGCUUGGAUGCGGCUGGCAAGACCACAAUCCUGUACAAACUGAAGUUGGGGGAGAUUGUCACCACCAUCCCAACCAUAGGCUUCAAUGUAGAAACAGUGGAAUAUAAGAACAUCUGUUUCACAGUCUGGGACGUGGGAGGCCAGGACAAGAUUCGGCCUCUGUGGCGGCACUACUUCCAGAACACUCAGGUGGAGUGUUGGGAGGGGACUUUCUAACCCCACGGGAAAAGGUGUUAGGGCUGGGAGAACAGAAUUGUUGGCCUAGGCUGGGCCCCCAGGCCAAGGAAAAAACCCUUCCCCACUUCUACCCCUUCUGUUUGGCUACCCCCUACUCACUCUUCAGAACUCACCUUAGUCUUCCCCAGCUUGGACUUCUCUUUAGAAGCAGGAUUCUGGGACCAGGCUGCCUGAUUUAGCCCUCAUAACAUGUCUUUAUUUCCUUGCACAUCUUUGGAUAAACUACUUCCUCUUUGCAGUGGGGUCUCUAGUUUGUGCCAUGACUCCUGUAGAGCUUCUAUAGAGUUCUGUAAACUUCUGUAGAGUUUACUAGAUGAGAAGGAUUGACACAAUUACAAAUGGGAAGAAAACAGAAAGGGCCACACUACGGUAUGCCCCAGGCAGAAGUGAUUGCUUCUCCUUUCUUCCUUCCUUCCUGCCCAGGGCCUCAUCUUUGUGGUGGACAGUAAUGACCGGGAGCGGGUCCAAGAAUCUGCUGAUGAACUCCAGAAGAUGCUGCAGGAGGACGAGCUGCGGGAUGCAGUGCUGCUGGUAUUUGCCAACAAGCAGGACAUGCCCAACGCCAUGCCCGUGAGCGAGCUGACUGACAAGCUGGGGCUACAGCACUUACGCAGCCGCACGUGGUAUGUCCAGGCCACCUGUGCCACCCAAGGCACAGGUCUGUACGAUGGUCUGGACUGGCUGUCCCACGAGCUGUCAAAGCGCUAACCAGCCAGGGGCAGGCCCCUGAUGCCCGGAAGCUCCUGCGUGCAUCCCCGGGAUGACCAGACUCCCGGACUCCUCAGGCAGUGCCCUUUCCUCCCACUUUUCCUCCCCCAUAGCCACAGGCCUCUGCUCCUGCUCCUGCCUGCAUGUUCUCUCUGUUGUUGGAGCCUGGAGCCUUGCUCUCUGGGCACAGAGGGGUCCACUCUCCUGCCUGCUGGGACCUAUGGAAGGGGCUUCCUGGCCAAGGCCCCCUCUUCCAGAGGAGGAGCAGGGAUCUGGGUUUCCUUUUUUUUUUCUGUUUUGGGUGUACUCUAGGGGCCAGGUUGGGAGGGGGAAGGUGAGGGCUUUGGGUGGUGCUAUAAUGUGGCACUGGAUCUUGAGUAAU